UUUUUUAAAAAAGGUUAAUGUUGUAAUUGCAUUAUAUACGUAACGUUGUGUACUCGUGUUUUUAGGUUUCAAUCUUUGAAUCAAAAAAACCCCAUCGCGUCUCUUCCCAGUCUAUUCAUUCAUAGUUCGUCGGUUUUCCAUCUACUUUCCAGCUGAUCGCCGGAAAAUCGCUAAUCUUACCGUCCAUAAACGCUCAUCUCCACCAUUUUCUUGGUUAGGCAGUGGAAAUACAGGAAAGCAAGAUUACAAAUGAGUGCUGAGAGCGUAUAGGAAGACAUGUUUGUGAAGCUACACAACAAAUAUGAGAUUAGCUUCUGCUUCAACUUUGUCAGCUGUGAUUACUCUUCAGCAUUUAAGCAAUGAUCAAUGAUCUUAAAAUCUGAACUGUCAUCUUGUUGACAGAACUUUGAAGAGGAAAAAUAUGCAUACAGAAUCUACGUAAUCAGCUGCUUCAACUGAAUGUUUAUUUUUCUGUUUUUUUGAUUCUUGAAUUUUGAUUUGAAGUAUAGCACAUUAUUCUAAUAAUAAUCAUCCAAGAAGAUUUCCCUAAUAGGAUUUUAUUCUAUAACUUUUAGCCUGUGAGACUGUAAUGACUUUUACAUUUUGUGCUCUUAUCAAUUGAUGCUAAUUUUGGACUGAAUAACCGAGAUGCGAGAGCAAAAUAUCUCUUGCGGUCUGCUAUGUCUUUUUACAUGAUUGACGACUUAUGGAUUGAUUGACCAUUAAUUAAUGUUUUAAUGUUGACUGCAACGAAUUUGUCAAAAAUUGGCUCAUCAAAUUGUAUAUACUUCAUAUUUGUCGUGAAAUUAGUAGACAAUAAUUGCAUAACAGGUCAGAGGUCAAUAGUGGACCGCCUCUUUGUUAUUUUCAAAUUGCAAGGACAGGUUUACAUACACCUAUCCUCUACGUCAGUGGCGGAAGCCUCCUAGAGGCAUUGAGGUAAUAUCGAUGUGGACAGAAUGUGACUUCACCUGAAACUUAAAGCAACUUUUUAACCCGAUAUUUGGACUUCCCUUAUUCCCAAUGCUAGUUAUUCUUCGCAGGUGGUGCAUUUGGUGGAACCCGAGGUGCGAGACCAGUCCCACCAGAAAAAGGAGUCUUCCCACUGGAUCACAUGCAUGAAUGCGACUUGGAGAAAAAAGAUUACCUCAACUGUCUAAAAAUCGCUGGCCAUACGUCAGGAAAAUGUAAA